rnacentral:rRNA from 1 species
AUUGAACGCUAGCGGGAUGCUUUACACAUGCAAGUCGAACGAGUGGCGGACGGGUGAGUAAUAUAUCGGAACGUGCCCAGUAGCGGGGGAUAACUACUCGAAAGAGUGGCUAAUACCGCAUACUAUUAGAGCGGCCGAUAUGGGAUUAGCUAGUUGGUGGGGUAAAGGCUCACCAAGGCAACGAUCCGUAGCUGGUUUGAGAGGACGACCAGCCACACGGGGACUGAGACACGGCCCAGACUCCUACGUGAGGCAGCAGGGGGUAAUUUUGGACAAUGGGGGCAACACUGAUCCAGCCAUGCCGCGUGUAUGAGAAGGCCUUCGGGUUGUAAAGUACUUUUGGCAGAGAAGCGGUAUCUGCAGAAUAAGCACCGGCUAACUACGUGCCAGCAGCCGCGGUAAUUC